GCUGGGUGUGGUGGCGCACACCUGUAAUCCCAGCUACUCAGGAGGCUGAGGCAGGAGAAUUGCUUGAACCCAGGAGGCAGAGGUUGCAAUGAGCCAAGAUCACGCCACUGCACUCCAGCCUGGGUGACAGAGCAAGACCCUGUCUCAA
rfam:Gorilla gorilla gorilla genomic chromosome, chr5, whole genome shotgun sequence